rnacentral:rRNA from 3 species
AGAGUUUGAUCCUGGCUCAGGAUGAACGCUAGCGACAGGCUUAACACAUGCAAGUCGAGGGGCAGCAUGAUUUGUAGCAAUACAGAUUGAUGGCGACCGGCGCACGGGUGAGUAACGCGUAUGCAACUUACCUAUCAGAGGGGGAUAGCCCGGCGAAAGUCGGAUUAAUACCCCAUAAAACAGGGGUCCCGCAUGGGAAUAUUUGUUAAAGAUUCAUCGCUGAUAGAUAGGCAUGCGUUCCAUUAGGCAGUUGGCGGGGUAACGGCCCACCAAACCGACGAUGGAUAGGGGUUCUGAGAGGAAGGUCCCCCACAUUGGUACUGAGACACGGACCAAACUCCUACGGGAGGCAGCAGUGAGGAAUAUUGGUCAAUGGCCGAGAGGCUGAACCAGCCAAGUCGCGUGAAGGAAGAAGGAUCUAUGGUUUGUAAACUUCUUUUAUAGGGGAAUAAAGUGGAGGACGUGUCCUUUUUUGUAUGUACCCUAUGAAUAAGCAUCGGCUAACUCCGUGCCAGCAGCCGCGGUAAUACGGAGGAUGCGAGCGUUAUCCGGAUUUAUUGGGUUUAAAGGGUGCGUAGGUGGUGAUUUAAGUCAGCGGUGAAAGUUUGUGGCUCAACCAUAAAAUUGCCGUUGAAACUGGGUUACUUGAGUGUGUUUGAGGUAGGCGGAAUGCGUGGUGUAGCGGUGAAAUGCAUAGAUAUCACGCAGAACUCCGAUUGCGAAGGCAGCUUACUAAACCAUAACUGACACUGAAGCACGAAAGCGUGGGGAUCAAACAGGAUUAGAUACCCUGGUAGUCCACGCAGUAAACGAUGAUUACUAGGAGUUUGCGAUACAAUGUAAGCUCUACAGCGAAAGCGUUAAGUAAUCCACCUGGGGAGUACGCCGGCAACGGUGAAACUCAAAGGAAUUGACGGGGGCCCGCACAAGCGGAGGAACAUGUGGUUUAA